rnacentral:rRNA from 1 species
CCUACGGGAGGCAGCAGUGGGGAAUUUUGGACAAUGGGGGAAACCAUGAUCCAGCCAUUCCGCGUGAGUGAAGAAGGCCUUCGGGUUGUAAAGCUCUUUCGGCAGGAACGAAACGGCGGACUCUAACAUAGUCUGUCAAUGACGGUACCUGAAGAAGAAGCACCGGCUAACUACGUGCCAGCAGCCGCGGUAAUACGUAGGGUGCGAGCGUUAAUCGGAAUUACUGGGCGUAAAGCGUGCGCAGGCGGCUUUGUAAGACGGAUGUAAAAUCCCUGGGCUUAACCUAGGAACUGCGUUCGUGACUGCAAAGCGAGAGUGCGGCAGAGGGGGGUGAAAUUCUUGGUGUAGCAGUAAAAUGCGUAGAGAUCAGGAGGAACACCGAGGGCGAAGGCAGCGCCCGGGCCGACACCUGACGCUGAAGCGCGAAAGCGUGGGGAGCGAACGGGAUUAGAUACCCCGGUAGU